UUGCCCGUUCCGCCGCCGCGGAGAGCGGCCCCGGGCGCGCCGCAAUCGUGAUCGUAACCGAGGCCUUGUGGGCCGCGUGGCGCUGAGCCCGACGGCGGGGGCUCGGGAUUCCGAGGUCACCCCCCGGGAACCGCGUGGACGAGAGCGGGCGCGGCGGGGCGGGCGGACCUCGGGCCCCGUGUGUCGGUACGCCCCUGGAGAGGGGCUGCCCGGCUCGGUCUCUCCCCUCCCCCGGGCAGCCGAGAGCUUUUCACCCUCCGGUUUUGAAUAAAUCCAGUCGGAAAAAAAUAUAAGCGCAACCCACCCUCGCUCCCCCCUCCAAUCCCUCCGCCCGAGCUCUACCCACGCCGAGCGGAAUGCAAAAACGCACCUGACCUUGAAUGCAGCCUACGAGAGAUAUGAAAAUCCCGCAAGCAGGCAGGGACUCGCUUAGAAGCUAGCUAACCUUGAAGAACUUGUCAAGCUUCCCCCCUCGGCUGCCGUGUUUAUCUGAGAAAUCAGAGGAGUCUCCGUUGCAGAUGGGGAACAAUGGCAUUGGGACUUGACGCCUACAGAUAACUUCGGCGCUAAGAUUUCUUCGGGCACAAAGGACCCUCGCACCAAGCAUACCUGGUGAUGAUAUCAGCUGAAGUAAUUAAGGCAGUUUCGUGCUGUAGAGAGAAAGGUGGAGCCCCAACAACAUGAAACUACCUAAACCACAGAGCAGUUCUCAGGCGCUAAUAAUUACUUUCCCCAUAGCCGUGGUCUUUAACGCAAGGAUCCCGCUACGGAAAUAAAACCAGAAACGUGACCCCGCGGUCCCUCUCGCCCCCCGCGCACCCCGCCGGGCCCCCCGCGCCCCCCGGCCGGGUUCAGGGAAACGGAGAAAUAGCAUCAGAACCCCCCCCCCGAGGGCGGCUUUCGCCUCUCCAUGCAGAUGGGAAGGCCGUCCGCUGCGAUGUUACAUCAUAAAAAGCUAACGGCUCCCUCUAAGCCCGGGUUCAAAGUCUCUCCCCCUCCUCCCAGCACACACAUACCCGGGAAGAAAGCUGGAGCUGUCGCUCCUCUGCCAGCCCUCGCUGUGCCUUCCCUUUGUGCGAGCCCCCGCUAGCUGAGCAUGCAGCGAAGGAGGGAGGAUGCAAAGGCGGCCCGGGGGGAAUAAGCGCUCCCGCAUGCAGCCAGUCUGUGCAGCUCCUCAGUCAACUGAAACCACUCGUUCAAGACAGCAACAAUCCAGAUAUACUAGCAAGUCAUAAAACUGAACAAAAGCCGACAAACCUUAGAGCACCAUCGCUAUAUGGCCCAGACAAAUUACGACCGUCUAGGGGGAAUCGUUGUGUGCUUAUCCCGUGUUACCAACGGUAACGCUGUUUAUCAACCAAAAAAAAAAAAAAAAAAAAAAUCACUAAUUCCACAUCUUUAAGCAAAACUACGUUACGUAAAUAUCUACAACCAGAAAGAGAGAGAGAAAUUCAGAGCUUGAAAGAGCAAAGCGGGCCCGGGAAGGCUGCAGGAACCGAGGAGGCUCACACAUGGCCCUCAGCAUUAGCAUGGCUUUCUUCCGCUCCCCCCGCAGCCCCGAAGCAGCUAUUAAGAGUUUAAGGACAUACUGAGAACGUCUAAAAUCGUUAAUCCAUACAGGUGCGGAUGACUACAGCCUAGGAAAAUGAUACUGGCUCUUUAAACCAUAAAGAUGUGUUUAUAGGUUCAUCAAGAGAAAUUAAAGUUGGCUGUGAGCUCCCGAA